rnacentral:rRNA from 1 species
UACAGGGGGUGCAAACGUUGCUCGGAAUCAUUGGGCGUAAAGCGCACGUAGGCGGUUCGUUAUGUCGGAUGUGAAAGCCCUUGGCUUAACCGAGGAAGUGCAUCCGAAACUGGCGAGCUAGAGUACGAAAGAGGAUCGCGGAAUUCCCGGUGUAGAGGUGAAAUUCGUAGAUAUCGGGAGGAACACCGGUGGCGAAGGCGGCGAUCUGGGUCGAUACUGACGCUGAGGUGCGAGAGCGUGGGGAGCAAACAGG